UACGUAGGGGGCAAGCGUUGUCCGGAAUCAUUGGGCGUAAAGAGCGCGUAGGCGGUCCGGUAAGUCCGCUCUGAAAGUCCGGGGGCUCAACCCCGGGAGGCGGGCGGAUACUGUCGGGCUAGAGUCCGGAAGAGGCGAGUGGAAUUCCUGGUGUAGCGGUGAAAUGCGCAGAUAUCAGGAGGAACACCGGUGGCGAAGACGGGUCUCUGGGCCGAUACUGACGCUGAGGAGCGAAAGCGUGGGGAGCGAACAGG
rnacentral:rRNA from 1 species